rnacentral:rRNA from 1 species
AGCGAACGCUGGCGGCAGGCUUAACACAUGCAAGUCGAGCGGGCACUUCGGUGUCGCCUGCAGACGGGUGAGUAACACGUGGGAACGUACCCUUUUGUUCGGAAUAACGCUUGUAAACUAGCGCUAAUACCGGAUACGCUCUUCUGGUGAAAGGCUUGCUGCCGAAGUAUGGGCCCGCGUCUUUUUGGCUUUUUGGUGGUGUAAUGGCCUACCAAGGCGUCGAUAGUUAGCUGGUCUGAGAGGAUGAUCAGCCACACUGGGGCGAAGACACGGCCGAGAAUCCUACGGGAGGGAGGCGAGGGGGAUAUAGGCCAACGGGGGCAAGGAUGAUGCCGCCAUGGCGGGUAAGUGAUGAAGUCCUUAGGGUUGUAAAGCUCUUUUGUCCGGGACGAUAAUGACGGUACCGGAAGAAUAAGCCCCGGCUAACUUCGUG